UGGGGAAUCUUGCACAAUGGGGGCAACCCUGAUGCAGCGACGCCGCGUGAGCGAUGAAGCCCUUCGGGGUGUAAAGCUCUUUCGGCAGGGAAGAUAAUGACGGUACCUGCAGAAUCAGCUGCGGCUAACUACGUGCCAGCAGCCGCGGUAAUACGUAGGCAGCGAGCGUUGUUCGGAGUUACUGGGCGUAAAGGGUGUGUAGGCGGUGCUCUAAGUGUGGUGUGAAAUCUCCCGGCUCAACUGGGAGGGUGCGCUACGAACUGGAGUGCUCGAGUGCGGGAUGGGAGAGUGGAAUUCCUGGUGUAGCGGUGAAAUGCGUAGAUAUCAGGAGGAACACCGGUGGUGUAGACGGCUCUCUGGGCCGCAACUGACGCUGAGACACGAAAGCGUGGGUAGCAAACAGGAUUAGAUACCCCCGUAGUCCCUGAGCGGGCUGGCAAGGCGCAU
rnacentral:rRNA from 1 species